UUGAACCGGUUCUUUCUGGUUCGACCCCCUGCUGAGAUGUGAAUUUCCACCCCAGAUAUACUGAAUCAGAACCUACAUUUUAACUAUAAUUUUAAAAUUUUAACUAUAAUGUAGGUUCUGACUCAGUAUAUCUGGGGUGGAAAUUUAAAUUCUCAGCAGGGGUUCGAACCAGAAAGAACCAGUUCAA
rnacentral:pre_miRNA from 1 species